AUGUGUGGGGUAUAUAUGCUUUCUGUCGCCCUCAGUAGGGUAAUCCAAGAGGUGUGAGUGGAAGUCACAGGAUCCAGGCAUAGGUAAGGGU
rnacentral:miRNA from 1 species